GCUUGCUUUGGCAAUGCAUAUACUUAAAGUGGAAGGAUACAGAGAAGAUUAGGAUGGCCUCUGCUCAAGGAUAACAUGCAAAUUCGUGAAGUGUUUCAUAUUUUU